rnacentral:rRNA from 1 species
CCUACGGGAGGCAGCAGUGAGGAAUAUUGGUCAAUGGACGAGAGUCUGAACCAGCCAAGUAGCGUGAAGGAUGACUGCCCUAUGGGUUGUAAACUUCUUUUAUAUGGGAAUAAAAUGUGCCACGUGUGGGAUUUUGUAUGUACCAUAUGAAUAAGGAUCGGCUAACUCCGUGCCAGCAGCCGCGGUAAUACGGAGGAUCCGAGCGUUAUCCGGAUUUAUUGGGGUUAAAGGGAGCGUAGGUGGAUUGUUAAGUCAGUUGUGAAAGUUUGCGGCUCAACCGUAAAAUUGCAGUUGAAACUGGCAGUCUUGAGUACAGUAGAGGUGGGCGGUAUUCGUGGUGUAGCGGUGAAAUGCUUAGAUAUCACGCAGAACUCCGAUUGCGAAGGCAGUUCACUGGACUGCAACUGACACUGAGGCUCGACAGUGUGGGUAUCAAACAGGAUUAGAUACCCCUGUAGUC